rnacentral:rRNA from 1 species
GAGCAAACAGGAUUAGAUACCCUGGUAGUCCACGCUGUAAACGAUGUCGAUUUGAAGGUUGUUCCCUUGAGGAGUGGCUUUCGGAGCUAACGCGUUAAAUCGACCGCCUGGGGAGUACGGCCGCAAGGUUAAAACUCAAAUGAAUUGACGGGGGCCCGCACAAGCGGUGGAGCAUGUGGUUUAAUUCGAUGCAACGCGAAGAACCUUACCUACUCUUGACAUCCAGAGAAUUUAGCAGAGAUGCUUUAGUGCCUUCGGGAAUUCUGAGACAGGUGCUGCAUGGCUGUCGUCAGCUCGUGUUGUGAAAUGUUGGGUUAAGUCCCGCAACGAGCGCAACCCUUAUCCUUUGUUGCCAGCGAUUCGGUCGGGAACUCAAAGGAGACUGCCGGUGAUAAACCGGAGGAAGGUGGGGAUGACGUCAAGUCAUCAUGGCCCUUACGAGUAGGGCUACACACGUGCUACAAUGGCGUAUACAAAGAGAAGCGACCUCGCGAGAGCAAGCGGAACUCAAAAAGUACGUCGUAGUCCGGAUUGGAGUCUGCAACUCGACUCCAUGAAGUCGGAAUCGCUAGUAAUCGUAGAUCAGAAUGCUACGGUGAAUACGUUCCCGGGCCUUGUACACACCGCCCGUCACACCAUGGGAGUGGGUUGCAAAAGAAGUAGGUAGCUUAACCUUCGGGAGGGCGCUUACCACUUUGUGAUUCAUGA